rnacentral:rRNA from 1 species
CAGUCGCCGCGGGAAUACGGAGGGUGCAAGCGUUAAUCGGAAUUACUGGGCGUAAAGCGCACGCAGGCGGUCUGUCAAGUCAGAUGUGAAAUCCCCGGGCUUAACCUGGGAACUGCAUUUGAAACUGGCAGGCUAGAGUCUUGUAGAGGGGGGUAGAAUUCCAGGUGUAGCGGUGAAAUGCGUAGAGAUCUGGAGGAAUACCGGUGGCGAAGGCGGCCCCCUGGACAAAGACUGACGCUCAGGUGCGAAAGCGUGGGGAGCAAACAGGAUUAGAGACCCGUGUAGUCCCGUCUCUUAUACA